GAUGAACGCUAGCGGCAGGCUUAACACAUGCAAGUCGAGGGGUAGAAGUCUUCGGACUUUGAGACCGGCGCACGGGUGCGUAACGCGUAUGCAAUCUACCUUUUACAGAGGGAUAGCCCAGAGAAAUUUGGAUUAAUACCUCAUAGUAUUAUGAAAUGGCAUCAUUUUAUAAUUAAAGUCACAACGGUAAAAGAUGAGCAUGCGUCCCAUUAGCUAGUUGGUAAGGUAACGGCUUACCAAGGCUACGAUGGGUAGGGGUCCUGAGAGGGAGAUCCCCCACACUGGUACUGAGACACGGACCAGACUCCUACGGGAGGCAGCAGUGAGGAAUAUUGGACAAUGGGCGCAAGCCUGAUCCAGCCAUGCCGCGUGCAGGAUGACGGUCCUAUGGAUUGUAAACUGCUUUUAUACGAGAAGAAACACUCCUUCGUGAAGGAGCUUGACGGUAUCGUAAGAAUAAGGAUCGGCUAACUCCGUGCCAGCAGCCGCGGUAAUACGGAGGAUCCAAGCGUUAUCCGGAAUCAUUGGGUUUAAAGGGUCCGUAGGCGGUUUAAUAAGUCAGUGGUGAAAGCCCAUCGCUCAACGAUGGAACGGCCAUUGAUACUGUUAAACUUGAAUUAUUAGGAAGUAACUAGAAUAUGUAGUGUAGCGGUGAAAUGCUUAGAGAUUACAUGGAAAUACCAAUUGCGAAGGCAGGUUACUACUAAUAUAUUGACGCUGAUGGACGAAAGCGUGGGGAGCGAACAGGAUUAGAUACCCUGGUAGUCCACGCCGUAAACGAUGGAUACUAGCUGUUCGGAGCAAUCUGAGUGGCUAAGCGAAAGUGAUAGUAUCCCACCUGGGAGUACGUUCGCAGAUGAA
rnacentral:rRNA from 1 species